rnacentral:rRNA from 1 species
GUUUGGUGGGGAUAAAUUAAUUGGGGUAAUAUAUUAAUAAAAAAAUUUUUAGAGAAUAAAAUAUUUUAUGGGGGUUAAAGUAUUUUGUUGGAAAAAAAUUUUUUAGGUUUAUAGAGUAUUAUGUAUUGAGAAAGAAUUUUGAAAUAAUUGAAAUAUAUAAUUAUUUUAAAAGUAAAUUUUGUUUGUUGUAUCUUGUGUAUCAGAGUUUAUUAAUAAAGUUUUUUAGGGGGAAAUUUCUCGAAUUUAAAGGGGAGAAUUAAUUAAUAAAUUUAUUGUGGUAAAAAUAUUUUUAAUAAUUAAUUUGAAAUGAAAUGUUAAUCGUUUUUAAAUAUAUCUAGUUUUUUUAGAAAAAAAAUUUAAUUUUAAAAUUUUUAUAAAAAAUUAAAUUAAUUGUUAUUUAAAUUUUUUUUUUAAAAUUUUAUAUUUUAGGGGAUAAGCUUUAAAUUAAAUUAAUAUAAAUAGGAUUUUUAUUUUAAAAUUUUAUGAUUUAUAUUUUUAGUAAAUUUUAAUUUGUUAUAAAUAAUUUUAUUUAAAGUUAAAAUUUAAAAUUUUUUUAUUUUUUUAUAAAAAAGUAAAUUUUAAUUUGAAAGAUUUAAUUAUAAUGAUAAAAUUAGUAUAUAAUUUGAUUAGUAGGAUAUUUUAAUUUUAAAUUAAUUUAGAUUUGAGGAAUUCGGCAAAUUUUUAUAUUCACUUGUUUAUCAAAAACAUGUCUUUUUGGGAAUAAUUUAAAGUCUAAUCUGCCCACUGAUUUAUAAUUAAAGGGCUGCAGUAUUUUGACUGUACAAAGGUAGCAUAAUCAUUAGUCAUUUAAUUGGUGACUUGUAUGAAAGAUUGGAUGAAAUAUAGACUGUCUUGAGUUUAAAUAUAAAAUUUAAUUUUUAAAUUAAAAAGUUUAAAUGUUUUAAAAAGACGAGAAGACCCUAUAGAGUUUAAUAUAUUAUUUUAUUAAAGUUAUUUAUUAAUAAGUAAAAAUUUUAAUUUUAAUAAUAUAUUUGAUUGGGGUGAUUAAAAAAUAUGAAUAACUUUUUUUAUUUAUAGACAUGAAUUAAUGGUUGAGUGAUCCAAUAUUUAUUGAUUAUAAGAGAAAAUUACCUUAGGGAUAACAGCGUAAUUUUUUUUUUUAGUUCGUAUAAAAAAAAAGGUUUGCGACCUCGAUGUUGGAUUAAGAUAAAAUUUAAAUGUAGAAGUUUAAGCUUUUGAUCUGUUCGAUCAUUAAAAUCUUACAUGAUCUGAGUUCAAACCGGUGUAAGCCAGGUUGGUUUCUAUCUUUUAGUAGAUGAGAUAUUUUAGUACGAAAGGAAUAGAUAUUUAAAUUAUAUUUAUUAAAUUAAGAAUUUUAAUAAUUUUAUUUUUGUAUAUUUGAUGAGUUAUUUAUAGAAGGUAAUUUGAGAUA